rnacentral:sRNA from 1 species
GGAGCUGAAGCAGAGGCAAAGAGCAGAGAUCCAUCCUUCGACAAGCUUCCUCAAUAGAGGAGGAGCAUCCUUCAGUCAAGGGUAUAUGAGGAGCUGCGCUCCCCUCCUAGAACCUUCAAACAAGCUCUCAAGAAAUGAGCUAUCAAGCCAUGAAGAGAAACUUAAAAGCAUAUUCUAAAUUAAAGAAGCCAAUCUGAAGGGCUAUAU